rnacentral:rRNA from 1 species
GAUGAAUGGCCCCCUCCUAGCGCGUGCUCACUCACUCAAAUGAUAUGCGAGUGGUGCGCUGGGCGUGGGGCACAGCAAGCAUACUGGCGAACGGGUGCGUAACGCGUGGGAAUCUGCCGAAUAGUUACUCGAAAUCCUGAAUAAUUAUAAAGCAAGCUAAUUCGCGCUGUUCGAUGAGCCCACGUAGUAUCAGGUAGUUGGUUAGGUAAAGGCUGACCAAUCCAAUGAUGCUUAGCUGGUCUUUU